ACUCCUACGGGAGGCAGCAGUGGGGAAUAUUGCACAAUGGGCGCAAGCCUGAUGCAGCCAUGCCGCGUGUGUGAAGAAGGCCUUCGGGUUGUAAAGCACUUUCAGUCGUGAGGAAGGUAGUGUAGUUAAUAGCUGCAUUAUUUGACGUUAGCGAANAGANAAGCGACGCUAACUCCGUGCCAGCAGCCGCGGUAAUACGGAGGGUGCGAGCGUUAAUCGGAAUUACUGGGCGUAAAGCGCAUGCAGGUGGUUUGUUAAGUCAGAUGUGAAAGCCCGGGGCUCAACCUCGGAAUUGCAUUUGAAACUGGCAGACUAGAGUACUGUAGAGGGGGGUGAGAAUUAUCAGGUGUAGCGGUGAAAUGCGUAGAGAUCUGAAGGAAUACCAGU
rnacentral:rRNA from 1 species